rnacentral:rRNA from 1 species
GAUCAUGGCUCAGGACGAACGCUGGCGGCGUGCCUAAUACAUGCAAGUCGAACGCUUCCUACCGGUGCUUGCACCGGGAAAGAAGAGUGGCGGACGGGUGAGUAACACGUGGGUAACCUACCUACAAGCGGGGGAUAACAUUCGGAAACGGAUGCUAAUACCGCAUAGAUCUUUUUGUCUCCUGGCAGAAAGAAGAAAGACGGUUUCGGCUGUCACUUGUAGAUGGACCCGCGGCGCAUUAGUUAGUUGGUGAGGUAAUGGCUCACCAAGACGAUGAUGCGUAGCCGACCUGAGAGGGUGAUCGGCCACACUGGGACUGAGACACGGCCCAGACUCCUACGGGAGGCAGCAGUAGGGAAUCUUCCGCAAUGGACGAAAGUCUGACGGAGCAACGCCGCGUGAGUGAAAGAAGGUUUUCGGAUCGUAAAACUCUGUUGUUAGAGAAGAACAAGGAUGAGAGUAACUGCUCGUCCCUUGACGGUAUCUAACCAGAAAGCCAUGGCUAACUACGUGCCAGCCGCCGC